AACGAACGCUGGCGGCAUGCCUAACACAUGCAAGUCGAACGAUGCCUUCGGGCAUAGUGGCGCACGGGUGCGUAACGCGUGGGAAUCUGCCCUUGGCUUCGGAAUAACAGUUAGAAAUGACUGCUAAUACCGGAUGAUGUCCCCCUGAGAGAUCUUGGGGACCAAAGAUUUAUCGGCCAGGGAUGAGCCCGCGUAGGAUUAGGUAGUUGGUGGGGUAAAGGCCUACCAAGCCGACGAUCCUUAGCUGGUCUGAGAGGAUGAUCAGCCACACUGGGACUGAGACACGGCCCAGACUCUUACGGGAGGCAGCAGUGGGGAAUAUUGGACAAUGGGGGGAACCCUGAUCCAGCAAUGCCGCGUGAGUGAUGAAGGCCUUAGGGUUGUAAAGCUCUUUUACCAGGGAUGAUAAUGACAGUACCUGGAGAAUAAGCUCCGGCUAACUCCGUG
rnacentral:rRNA from 1 species